rnacentral:rRNA from 1 species
UGGGGAAUCUUCCGCAAUGGGCGAAAGCCUGACGGAGCAACGCCGCGUGAGUGAUGACGGCCUUCGGUUGUAAAGCUCUGUGAUCGGGGACGAACGGUCAGCAGACGAAUACUCUGCUGAAGUGACGGUACCCGAAUAGCAAGCCACGGCUAACUACGUGCCAGCAGCCGCGGUAAUACGUAGGUGGCAAGCGUUGUCCGGAAUUAUUGGGCGUAAAGAGCAUGUAGGCGGGCUUUUAAGUCCGACGUGAAAAUGCGGGGCUUAACCCCGUAUGGCGUUGGAAACUGGGAGUCUUGAGUGCAGGAGAGGAAAGGGGAAUUCCCAGUGUAGCGGUGAAAUGCGUAGAUAUUGGGAGGAACACCAGUGGCGAAGGCGCCUUUCUGGACUGUGUCUGACGCUGAGAUGCGAAAG